AAGUAAACGGAAAAAUUUGUAGUUCCGCUAGAUUCUUUAACUUGAUGGUUUCACUCAGUUUAACGUCACAACUUCAUCGUCCUCCUCGUACUCAUGUCCUCUGCAACUUUAACCUAAAAUGAUCUCGGCAUGCGGUGAUAAAAGUGUGAAGUAACUUGCUGCAAUGAAUACUUAAACAUGAACUUUUGCGGCAGUGCACUGCGACUGUGACUGUGGGGUGAGUUCAUUGAACACACGUAACAAUGGCUGGUGCAGUUGGCAUGCCUGAGCGGGAGACACCGAUUUUUUCCAGCAACAAUGUCCGUCCAAGGUUGGAUGUCUAUGUUUGGGACAUGGAUGAGACGCUUGUACUACUCAACUCCUUGCUGAAAUCAUCAUACGCAGAGGCUUUCAACGGUCUGAAGGAUGUGCAGAAGGGAGUUGAAAUCGGGAGGAUGUGGGAAAAUCUCAUUCUACAAACAUGUGAUGAUUAUUUCUUCUAUGAACAAAUUGAAAAUUACAAUAAGCCAUUUCUUGAUUCUCUGGCCCAAUAUGAUGAUGGGAGCGACUUAUCUGAUUAUGACUUCAACAAAGAUGAAUUAGGUGCCCCUCAAGAUGAUGCCAACAAAAGAAAACUUGCAUAUAGGCAUCGAGUCAUUGCCCAAAAGUACAUACAGGGUUUACGGAAUAUUUUAGAUCAAGAGACAAUAAAACACUGGGAUGAAUUGUAUGAUAAAACUGAUGAAUACACUGACAGGUGGCUUUCAUCAGCACGAACCUUUUUGAAGGAGUGUUUGGGUGAAGAUGAAGAUGCAGUUUCUUCAAUUGCUUCUUCUGAUACCAGCUAUAACUCAACUAAUGUAAAGCAUGUUAAUGUUUUAGUGACCUCUGGAUCGUUAAUUCCCUCACUUGUGAAAUGCCUGCUCUUUCGUCUGGACAGCUUGAUAAGCCAUGGAAAUGUUUAUAGUUCAUGGGAAGUGGGAAAAAUUCAAUGUUUCCGAUGGAUCAAGGAGCGUUUCAACCAUCCUAAUGUUCGCUUUUGUGUAUUUGGAGAUGGAUGGGAAGAAUGUGAAGCUGCAGAAAUCAUGAGAUGGCCAUUUGUUAAGAUUGAUCCACGGCCAGGAAAACUUCACAGGUUCCCUGGUCUUACUUUGACAACAGUUAGCCACUACUUUUCUGUGGUGUAUGGAAGGCCAAACAAUGAGAAUGAAGAUGGUUGACCCAUGAUCUUCAUCUCAUCUACACUUUUCUGGUAUUCAUGUCUGUACCAAUAAUAUAAAAUGAAUGCAGCAGCAUAACCAGCAAUUGUGUUACCAAGUGUAUGCAUUGCUUCCGUGAGAUGGCUAUCAAUCUCAGGUAACAGGAAGCCACUUCUAAGUUUCGUUUCAUGAUGCAUUGCGGAUGCAUUGCUGACAUCAAUAUUUAUGUGCUUAUGGCUGGUGCUUCGCAAAGUGUUAGCUUCAUCUUCAUUUGCAAGUUUAGAUAAUGGAGUUUGGCCUCACAUUCACAGAGCAGUAUCUGAUGUGGAAUGGCCGUCAACUAUAACUAUAGGAUAAAAUUCCUGAUGUGAUUCUGAGAAUUGACCAAAAGAUUAUAAAGAUUUUUUGAGGUCUUCGUCAAUUUUUAAAUCUCAGAAGGUAGGUCCUCAUUUUGCCAGAUUAAUCUGAAGCUGCAUGGCUGGUGUUAAGUCCACUUUUCCCUCCAGCACGCCUGUUAUCAUAUCAAUUAAACAACUUGUCUUCUUGCCAAAAGAUAAGUCCUAAAAUGGUAUUGGUAUGGUAUACCUUGGGAUUUGACAUGCACUGUAUAUUGUUCUGACAUUUGAGAUAUACACAAAAUCUAUCCUCUGUUGUCCUUUACUCUGUUUGAGACAAUGAAUUGGUUCGAAUUAAGGAUAAGAUCAUUCGAUAAUUUAU